UACGAAGGGGGCUAGCGUUGUUCGGAAUCACUGGGCGUAAAGCGCACGUAGGCGGAUCUUUAAGUCAGGGGUGAAAUCCCGAGGCUCAACCUCGGAACUGCCUUUGAUACUGGGGAUCUCGAGUCCGGGAGAGGUGAGUGGAACUGCGAGUGUAGAGGUGAAAUUCGUAGAUAUUCGCAAGAACACCAGUGGCGAAGGCGGCUCACUGGUCCGGUACUGGACGCUGAGGUGCGAAAGCGUGGGGAGCAAACAGGG
rnacentral:rRNA from 1 species